AGAUUUCGAGAGAAGACUUUGGCAGAAACAGAACAUAUUGGUAACGGCAUCAGACAUUGGUAUUAUAGAUGAACAGAACAAAUAUAGGAAACAUGUUGAAGCUUUUCAUGGUUCUUUUGAUGUCUUUGAUGUUGACAAUCGAAGCAAAAGGAGGCGAAGCUAAUUUCAAGACAGAAAUGCAGCCCCAAAAAGCUAUUUCCGGAAAAUGUCUGAACUACAUCGAGAAACUCGAUUGCAACUUUUACAACUGUUUGGAGGAAAGAUUCCCUUGUGGCCCGACGGGUUUCAGUUUAGGCGCCAGUCUCAUAUAUUGCAAAAGAUCUGAGGGAUUCAAGUCACACUUAUCUAUGGAGGCAAGACAAAAUUAUGUCACUCUUCGGCAUUGUUUACUGAUGAGUGCAGAAAUUGUCUACAAACUGAACUCCACUACCUGUGCUAAUAUCGCUAAAAAGCUGUAUGAUGCAUAUGUGCCUUGUUUCUACGAAAGUAAUAUCUGCAAAAUUGGCUGGGAAAACCGCGAUGUAUAUCACGAUGUCUUCAAUAUAAAAUGAUCGAAAGAGCAAAGCCCUUACUCCCAGUUGAUAUGGAAAGACAUUACCAAAAUUGCUUCAAAAUGUCCGACAGAAAGCGGUAAAAAAUUUGCCAAAUGGCUCAAAGGAAUCGGCAAGCCUAAAAAUCUGAUUUAAAACUUAUUACAGUCCAAGUUCAACUGCGAGGUAUUUUAGACAAAAGAGCUCCUUCUGAAGUGUACCUUAGCUGAUACAUUUUGGCAACGCAGACUAUUGUUUUCCGUAAUAAUCGUGGAACACAAAAACAGA